CCUGGUGAUAACAAACAGGUUAAGCUGGUCUUUGAAAUGAAAUAGUCAGGUAACACCUGUACAAACCAGUACAUAUUCAUCAAUCUUAGUAAAUUUGGUUGGCCUAUCUUGGCCGGCCCGGCAAAAAACACCUGUACAAACCAAGACAUUAUCCUAAAACUGAACUAGGAAUGCAUCGUCGAAAAAGGCAGAUUCCUGCCUCCAACUCAAUGUCUGAAUCAUGAAUGAAAUGAAUCAUGUGAGACUUUCAGUUUUGGCUCUUUGUGCAUAAAUAGUGCAGGUAUGGUGGAUCUGAAACUGUAUACACAAGUAUAAUGAUUCUAAGUAACAUUUCUACUAUUUUUUUUAGUGAAUACGCUAAAUAACAUUUCUAUUUCAUUUAGCAAAUAUGCUAAGCUUCAGGUGAUGAAUGCGUGAUUACAAUUUACAAGCGCUUCCCCAAAUGAUACCUGUUGGAAUGAAGAAGGCGAAGCAUGAUAAACAUCUGAAUAUGUCAGGUGACUCUUGCCCUUGUCUUUCAGAAUCACCCUUUGAGUUAUGCAUGAGUUGCAAUUGGGACAGAACAGGUCAUGAGUUUCUUGCUCAUCAAGAAUUUUCUCAAGGUCAUACUCUUCAAUGUUCACUUUGCCCUUAAUGACAUCUUCAUCCUUCUCAGCUUCAAUUUCAUGGACACUAGUUUUGUUCAUGCUGACAUUGGCAAUGUGAAGAGAACCAUUUGAGUUUGCCAGGCCGUUUUGGUUCUUGUCAAUGAUUGUGAUCACUUUCAAGCCUGCUUUUCCAUUUGCAACUGUAACUGUUUCACCACUGUUACAGACUUCAUGUGAACCAUUUGAAGGUGAUCUGUUCUCCAAACUGCUGUUAUUAGAAUUUUCAUUAGUUUCUUGAGAAUUAGCAUUUUCCUGUGUC